GACGAACGCUGGCGGCGUGCUUAACACAUGCAAGUCGAACGGAAAGGCCCUGCUUUUGUGGGGUGCUCUAGUGGCGAACGGGUGAGUAACACGUGAGUAACCUGCCCUUGACUUUGGGAUAACUUCAGGAAACUGGGGCUAAUACCGGAUAGGAGCUCCUGCUGCAUGGUGGGGUUGGAAAGUUUCGGCGGUUGGGGAUGGACUCGCGGCUUAUCAGCUUGUUGGUGGGGUAGUGGCUUACCAAGGCUUUGACGGGUAGCCGGCCUGAGAGGGUGACCGGCCACAUUGGGACUGAGAUACGGCCCAGACUCCUACGGGAGGCAGCAGUGGGGAAUAUUGCACAAUGGGCGGAAGCCUGAUGCAGCAACGCCGCGUGCGGGAUGACGGCCUUCGGGUUGUAAACCGCUUUCGCCUGUGACGAAGCGUGAGUGACGGUAAUGGGUAAAGAAGCACCGGCUAACUACGUG
rnacentral:rRNA from 1 species